UCUUUUUGAUUAAAAUUUAAAGUUGUCUCUGCUCCAUGAUUAAUUAAAUAGCUGCAGUAUUUUGACUGUACAAAGGUAGCAUAAUAAAUUGUUUUUUAAAUGAAAACUUGAAUGAAUGAGUUAAUGAGAUAUAAAUUUUAUUAAAAUAAUAGGUUGAAUUUUAUUUUAAAGUUAAAAAGCUUUAAUUUUUUUAAGGGACGAGAAGACCCUAUAGAAUUUUAUAUAAAUAUAUAUUAAAUAUAUAAAUAUAUUUAUUUGGGAGGAAUAUUUAAUUAGAUAACUUAAUUUAUAAAUUUCAAUUAAUAAUUGUAAAUGAUGAUUAUAUUUUAAUAUAUUAAAGAUUAAAUUACCUUAGGGAUAACAGCGUAAUAUUUUUUUAUAGUUCAUAUUGAAAAAAUUGUUU
rnacentral:rRNA from 1 species